UACAAAAUAUCGCGCGACGGCGCCCUUUCGGGCUCAAUGGGGAAGACGGUGCGAUUCCGUCACGGUCCCGCCGCUGUAACCGGGGACGAAGGCCGAAAUAACGCCACUGGAUGGUCCAACAAGCCGUCCGGGAAGGCUCGGCCGCUAGGUUGAUCCGGAAGUCAGAAGACCUGCCGCCAGCGCAUGGGCGUU
rnacentral:ncRNA from 2 species